GAGGUACAGACCAUCAACGGGGCGCUGGCACGCCAGUAAAGGGGAAACGACGGGAGAGGAUAUAGCAGCCGCAACGCAGCGGUAGCGGCACGGGCACUGCGAUUCGAGAGACGAGGAGGUAACAGGCAGCCAGCCGGUCUCGAAGAGCUGGCGAGGGCUCGAGAGGGAGAUGAUAUUUAUCGAACCGGCGGGAGGAGGCGUCGAGCGGCUAGAGAAUAGCCGGGAGGAUCAGGUGGCCUCGGGGAGGUGGAGCGGAGACAGGUGGUGGCAGGUAGUACCGGCGGAGCCGGAGCCGGAUUUAAAGCCGGUCGGCUCAAGGAGGAGGUGGGGGACUGGGGUGGUAGAAGAAGGGGUGUGCGGCCGCGUGGAGGGGUAGGAGAGGUGAGGAGCGGCCUCAUCGGUACCAACAGCGGAGGUACGAGCCGACGGCGGUGGCGACGAGAAACAGGGGCGCACCGCAACGGUGAGGCGGGGAGGGGCCGCGGGCGUUGGGUCGGGCAACCUGCGCGGAGGAAGGGAUCUCGAGCGGCCACGGCGGGUGAGCCGGCCUCUGGCGUCAGCGGCCGGCCCGGCAGCAGUCGGUCUCGGAGGGGACGAGGGAUGAGACAAAGGUAGCCCCCGUCCCACUCCUCCUUCUUCUGUACCCGGUCCGCUCGGGGGAGGAGGGGCGCCCUGGGGUGGGCAGUCGGGGAGGCGCAACUGGGUUGUGUCCGGUGCAGUGGCCCCUGAACAAACACCUCGAUAAAAAUGUGUAACAAGGGAUUAGAAGGUGGCGAGCAUAGAAGCGCUGAGAUUGAGGCUUAGUCCACUAAGGUUUCGGGUGCAGAAGCAGAGUAGCUCGGACUAGACAACCACAGUAAAAGUGAUACACAAACGUAUGAUCUUUACUGGUAAAACGUAACAACUCCUUUAGCAAUUGACCAUCGACGAGCCAGCCGGCCACUCAUCCCCUAAUUAACCGAUUAGCCGUUCAAUUAACCGGUAAAUUAGUUAAUUAGCCUACUAAAUAGCCCAUUAGCCGAUGAGCCCCUGGGAUACUCAUCCCUAAUUAGCCGUUCAAUUGACCAAUUAGCCUACUUAAGAACUUGUCCCGGUAAAACGGGAACGGGAAUAGAUCGGGGGAGGCUCUCUCUUAUAAAAAACCGCUUAGCAAGGCGUUGAAGUGGCGUGAAGAAGGACCUCAUAAGAAGUAGGGGUCCGUUCGGUGCUGUCGGUGAAUGUACUACCUAAACGUCAUAAGUACCAAAAAUGUACUUACAAAUUAUUUACAAACGAGUAAAUGAUGACUACAACGAUAAAGCCAAUACGAACACCUAGGGACGAAUAGUAGUACGAUACGAAAAUACGUGAGACAAUCAAUAUACCAAUCAACGAUCAUCAUAACAAGAGCAUAAAGUACGACCAUAAAUACAGUUCGAUCACUAUCACUACAAGUAGACUACGUACUAAUAGCAGUCAAUACUUUUAAUAGACACUACACGUACUAGUAGCGAUACGGUACAAGUAGACGUAGGUCAUCUGAUUCACGAAAUAAUAACAACUACGAUUCCAACGUAUACCAAUAUUGGGGGUAGGUACAAGUACAAUUAUAGUACGAGCAUACGUAACAGCAAAGUAGUACAAAUAAUACCGAGUCGAUAAAUGAAUAGUUUCAAAUUAGCUUAUAAUUUACUUGAACUUGUGGACAACCGGCUCAGAUAACAGUACGGAGAGUAGCCACGGAGGUUGAUCCCUUCCAAUACAUGCGCGCGACGGGACCGGGCCAUCCGCCACUAUUGGUACACACGGGCUCAACAAACGCGCGAAAACAGGGGCAAACCCUGGCAAAUACAAAACGGUGCUACCACCAGUAACGCACAGUACUCCACUGUAGUCCCAGUGGGUACUUAAUCGGGCUUCCCCCCAAACAGUCUCACCGACCCUCUCACAGUACGUUAUCUAACCAAAACAGCCUUGCGGCAACCAGGUGGGCUUACCUCGUGCUCCGGAACCCAAGGCAUCACACCCAUGUCACAUGAUUGGAGAUACCUCACGUAUUAUAUAGCUAUCGGCGCGGGCACCUAUACCCUAGUCAAGUAUCAUCCAGUGUGAUACCCGGUUAUCUUUAUUAUUGGACGAAUUACUAUUGGGAUCAGGCUACUCCUUUCUUCAAACAACUAGAAAUACACUAGCACUCUCCUAGUGUCACCAUAGCAACUAUGGCUUCGACCAACUACAAACACCACAAUACGCUAUUAGUGCCCAUUCCUAGUUCGAGGAACACCAGUCCAUUACUAAUGAUGCCAUAACAAUUAUGUUUCGAACUAAACUAGGACUCACUAGCACACUACAGGUACUACCAUUCACCAUGUACACCACCAAUGUUCCAUUGGGGCUUGUCUCAUUCAACUUAGUACUAUCAAAUUUGUACAACGUACGAUCGUAGUAGUACAAGUAUUCAAGUACGGUACGAAUAUUACACGAUCACCAUAGUACAAGGAGUAACGAAAUUGAACAUUUACGGUACUAUAACAAACAGACCUCACGAAAACGAACAACACUCGAACACUCAUGUAAGUUUCAUGAGUGGACCGCAUAGUACGGUCAAACGUCCAGUACGACACAAACGAACUAAGGGCUCCUAGGGUUCAAACGCUGGAUCCUAUGCGCAAGGUCGGUCUCAGGGACGCCUCACCUCAGGUAGUAACAGCGGCAACAAGGCAACGAUCUUCUAUAAAGCGAUGAUGCUCAACAAGACGACGAUCGUAUCUCGUUGGAACCGUCCGCAACAGCACCAAAACAGUGCCGUCUACAGGAUUUCUUUCAUGAAUCAGCACCUCGGUAGCGCUGCCCAAUCGAAUUUCCCCAAUUUCGCCUGUUCCCUGCGUCUCUCAAAUAAGACCAAGCCGGGGAACGCCACUUCCAUUUUCGGAUGCUAGGUCAACAACACCCUAACGAACCCAAAGCUACUGGUCCCUCGCUUAUGCGAAACGGACCCAGAGCUCAACAAAAGACAACAGGGAUUUGGCGGCGGCCCAGCGGGGGAAUAUAUGUACCCAACUGCGGACAGCCAAAUGUCCCAAGGCUCCGGCCGAGUAUUUGCACAGGCCGAGCCAGAGAUGAAUAAAGACGGAAUAUUAUGUUCGAAUGUAUAGUUCCAGCCAAAUACUGAUGUACGGAAUUAGGCGGAAACCCGGGACCCGGAAGUAUUUCGCAGUUGUAGAAACAGAAGUACCCGAAAUUUAUAUUAUUGAGUAAUAUCCCUAUUGGGCCGGAGCGGACCGGCCAAAUACGGGUCAUCAUUAUAGGGGUUGUAAUCCAGGGUCUAACUAAACUUGACCAAGUACGGUUAGAGGUUAUGAACUCUUCUAAAGAAGAAGUCGUGGAAGCGUAAUCAGAGCAUUUGGCGGUACUGCAGUAGAAGAUCCUAGUACUAUUUGGCGGUACUGUAGUAGACAAUAAUUUUUUAACGUAUAUCGAGUGGAAGUAAUUAUUUGGAGGCUGUUAACUCCGCUGUCGAGGCGGUGUAUAGGUUAAAAACCCGAGGAGUUAAAAGCGCGAACAGUGAAUAGGGAAACGGAAAUAUUUAUCCUGAUCCCCAGGAAAGGUAAAAAGGGGCGCACGGAGAAGCGUAGCAGAAGAAGGAGCGCGGCUGGCUUGGAAGUUCGAGACGGCGGCGGCAGUUAGAAGCGUAGACGGAGUUGUUACCAACGAUGUAGUUGGACAAGCAUGGUCUUUCGGCGCCGCAGAGAAACGACAAGGAGACAGUAACCAUUCGGAAGAGAGGGAGGUGGGAUCUAGAAUGGUAAUCCAAAACAUGAAUAGUCUCAAGAAGCUUCAAGAACCUCGACAAGAGGGAACAAGGAGAAGUCAUCAUGGUUACCGCUCAAUCUAGACUAUAAAAAGUCACGGGAACAUCAAAGUUGAGGAAAAAGGUGUAAUCCCGUAGACGAAAUAUAUUUUGAGUAGACUUGAACGAUUUGACAAGCUCGUGAACUUUAGUCCAGUCUUAUAUAAAACUAAAAGGUUGCGUGCUGUAUAGACUUUAAUGAUACGGUCCGACACUUUGAACAAAAAGGAAGUGAAUGUGUAGAAUCUAGACGUAGAAGUUAUGGUCUAAUCCACCAAAUUAGAGUAUCUUUUUACUACUAAGCCAUCCAUGGUAAUCAGGGGACAACUUGGCGGUUACGUAAAUAGAAACGUGAAUGAGGUAACAGUCUGAGGCCAAAUGGUUAUUGUUUGAGGCCAAAUUAUUGUACGUAUAUAGGAACGUGGCGAAAUAUCAACAGGUAACACUUAGAAUUUGGCCGUUAUUAGUACAAAGUCGAAGGGUAACUUUACCAGUUCGUUCAGAUACUUACGUUGACCCAAGGAAGAGCCCAGUGAUUUCUAGUCAAUUUGUCUACACAGCGUUGACAGAGAAAUCGGUUCUUUCUCCAGUAAGUGGCCUCCCGGGGACCAUGCCUUUUAGGAGGACUUGGGUUCCUACCUCUUCAUUAGUAAAAACAACUGGUAGACCCAGCUCCGAAAUCGGGAGGGCCAAGUUUUAAGAAGGCUCUACACGAACGGUCAAAAGUCGAAGUGGGAGUCCUGUAGCCAGGUUUGAGACACAGGUUGUAGACGGUAAAGGUUCAGAAAACACUCCGAAUAGAAGUUCUCCUCGGGUGUCAACUUAACAAAUCCCUAAAGAAGGUGAAUUUGGUAGCGUGUCUUAAAUGUCUACCUGGGUUAUGACUUGAGCCACCUUACCGCCAAGUUUUUUCCUUCCUUCAGUCGAAGGGAGUGCGGUUCGAAGUUUCAGUGGGUUUCCUCACCUUGGUCUGAACCAAAAUAACGUUUCUGUGUAGAGGUUGACUACUUUUAGGAAAUGGCCCAACGGUGGGAGUGACAGAAUCGUUAUGUGUAGGGAAAGGAGUCUCCGAUUGACGGUUCCUUUCCCGGUGGAUACGGGGUGUUGACAGUUUCGAAUCUCGGAAGUACCGCUUGCCAAAUCGUCCACAACUAAAAAGAGCAACAAUCAAUUCGACCUCAUAAGACGGGAAUUCGGCUACGGGGCCAAAUUACAUACUUAUGUGGCCCUCGAACUUCCUGGGAGUUGCUGUGUAACUAUAAGUCGAAUGUCUACUACUUCAAUGGCUCCGACACUUCUUCUACGACUUACUUGGUCUCCGAUAAACAUCGGUCUGGCCUAAUUCAGGAAAGACAUGGAGGUUGCUUGGCGGUCGACCACUACUAGGCAAGACCUUCUUUUUUGGUGUCCUAUUUGGCCGUUUUGGUGUUCUGUUUCGCCGUUUCGGUGAAGCGGGCUUCUGGUUCCAACAAUUUUUUGGACGGUUCUUUUCCUGGUGACGCAGAAAGCUCGGUUUACGCCUACGGCUACACCGAUUAGGCCUGAAUCUCCUGCUGCGACUUUCGUCAGUUCGGCUACUGUAUCUCUGCGUUGUUGUGCUUCGAGCGGCGUGUUGGGCCGUGUUGCCGGUCCCAUGAAGGGUGAGUAGAAGACCGCUCAGUAGUCGGUGUUUCGAAGGUGGGGAGUUUUGUCAAGGACCACGGUUUGGUUCUGGGUCUUUCUUCCGAGCCGAUUGAUUUGGCCAACUGCUAUUACACCAACAACUUGGCCUUUUCUGAGAUCUAGGCCUUCUUUGGUUACGACUGCGGUACGAAUUACUAGGCGGCGGAGUUCCGGUACUGAAGAAACGACUUGUUCAUAUUCAACUGUGGUGUUCGGUACGACUGUUCGGCUGGUCGGGACAGGCUUGACUACUAUUUGGCCAGUCAGAUCGAUUCCUAUGAUUAUUUGGCGGGUGAGGUCACUUCCUACGACUACUAUUUCUCCAACUACAAUACUAAUGACCGAAACCGGUAUGGCGAGGACCUUUAGGACAGCGAAAUAGGUUUGUGUCGCGGUUCCAAGAUGGUACCCGUUUCCGUUAACCUCGUGUAUAGACAGUUCAAUACGAGUGGAGUUGCGGGUUCUGUAAGUAAGACCAAAAAAUUUGGCAGACAUGCGUUCGGCGUUGAAACUUCGGCCGAAUCAUUUAGAUUACUUCCUCGUUAUACUCCGACUCGACUCGUUUUUCCUUCGAGUUUGGCGACUAGACGUUCUUUUGUAGUUCAGGGUCGUUCCGCUUUGGAGGUUUCGGUUCCUACUCAACAGGCCGCGAAAUCGGCGAUACCUUUUUGACUUCCUCUCAAAGUUGUUUCUCGCCCGCCUAACCCUGUGUCUUUUUAGGCGAAAUGUUUUUUCUCGGCUCCUACGGCUUCGGCGAGAAUUUGGCCACCAUCUACUCGACUGACCGCAUUUCGCCGUCUAUGUACGGUACUGACGACAACACAAGCCUUGAGCGUAACCAGUAGACCCGAGACUGCAUGUCUUCUUCGACUUCCGAGGGAUGUGAAACUAUCUCGUCAACAUAUGGCCGCACGUUGCUUAGUAGACGUGGCGAAGAGUGUUAUUUGGCGGGGUUGCAAUUAGUUCCUAUGGAAUCUUUCCGACAGAUACGACGGACGGGCCCAUCUUCUUGAUUUCUCUAGUCGACGUUCCCGACCACGAGACUGGCGUGAUUAGGCCCGUUUCCGUACCCACGGACUGGAACUAGGCCUCCUACAGUCGUUUCCGAUAGGCUCGAAUUUUCUUCUGCCUAGUCUUAAGUCUUUACUCCUGGAGGUUCGGUACUUGGCCCUUCAUGCAGGUGACCGAACGGUUAAUCGACUUCUUCGACUAGAAAGUGUAAUAGUCCACUCAAUACUGUAGGUGUUGUUUGCCCAACGACGUUGUUGAGGUCUCCAAGUUUUAGAGUGGGGCGCUUAAGCAUUCGUAUGGAUACGGGGACUGUAACUUGGCAGGUGGGAAUAUUCGUUGCUUCGACACAAGGUUCGGGAUUGACCCUAGCUGACCUGUUGAUAACUGAAGGUAGGCGAUCCAUCUCUACUUCUCCUACUUGGCCGCGUUCUACUAGGCGUCGGCAGUCCAGUUCGACCACUACUUCGUACUAGGUUUUCGGCCAAAUCGGAAGGUGUACGGUAUUGUCAAUAGUUUUCUGUUAAUAAGAAAACCCGUGAAUUUGCGUAACAUUAUCCGAUCAAUUUUGUGAACCAGAUGAUACGGUAGUACGUAUAAAUAGACACGGACUGUAAAAACGAUUAGGUGGUAUGAAUUCUGUAUACUACAAGUAUUAGGUAUCGUUAAAUAAGUUCGAUAGGGACGUCUAUUCUUCAAAUUUCGCGGGACCGCCAAAUGGCGGUCUAUCCAGUACUACGGUCUAUAUAUCG
rnacentral:rRNA from 1 species